rnacentral:antisense_RNA from 1 species
CCACCCAGAGUCCCUGGGGUUUCUCUACUGGACAGCCUGGCAGAAGAGGCCAGUGCCUUGGAUAACAGCAGGUGGGGAGGUGAGGGAGGGCAGAAGUUGGAGGGGCCCUGGCAAGGGCCUGGGACUCUGUCCUGAGUGAUGGAAGAAGCCGUAACCCAGGCCCCAAAGGCGCCACCAGCCAUAGCUUCCCAAGCCCACCAGUGGGAAGCAGACCAACGCAUCUUGUGUGCCCACCUGCGCACUGCCAGCCCCUGCCUGCCCGCCCCGCAGCGAGCUCACCAUCUCGUGAAGGAUGUCAUUGGUCAGGAAGCUGUCCUGGACGUAGGCCAUCUCCACAUCCAUGGGGAUGCCAUAGUCACUGGGCCUUUGCUGGCAGGGACACAGACCAGUCAGAGAAGCCUCACCAGCCCCCAGCCCAUGGCAGCUGGGGACAACUGGCAGUGCCCGGGCUGGGAACGGGAGAGUGCACACCCCGGCUCAGCUCUGCACCAGGAUUGGCACCUGGUGGUGGCACCAGGGAGGCAAGGUAGCAUCCUUACUCCGGGAGAGGCCCAGAAGAGAGCCAGGGCCCUGAAAUGACUUCCAGGGCUGACCUCUGACUUCAGGGCAGGAUUGGGGAAUGGAGCCAGGCAGGGUCACGAAGGGAGCCCACUUUGUACUAAGCAGCCAACGACACACCGAGGCCCCACACCCAGGACCUCAUCAAAAUAUGGGCAGGGCAGCAGUCACGUCCCCGUUUCAUAGACGGAGAAACUGGGGCCCCAACUCUCCAGUGGAGCCUGGAACCAGGGGCCCCUGCCUAGUUGUGACCCAAAUGCCCCGGUGCUCCCGGGCCCCCCAGGCUCUCCCAGCAGCCCCACCUACCUCGGGAGGAGGCAUCACCCAGAAAGGCGAGAUCUUGGACUCGGGACCUGGGUUGCCAGAAUAGUAAGGGGCUGGCGGAAGAGAGGGAGAGAGGGGUUGGGCCUGGGAGGCUUGGCUGGCCCAGCAUCCCCCCUCCUUGCUCCCCCUAUAGCCCCAUCCCACGUACAGCAGAGCAGGGCGAGGCAGGGCUGGAAGCCAUUGCUGGAGCCCUGCAGCCGCAGCUGGUAGUCCAUCUGUGCGUCGAUGUCCUGCAGAGAUGGCAGCGCUGGGCUGUGCGGGUGGCUGUGGUACCAGCCCACCAGGGACAGGCCCCGUAGGAACAGGCUCUGGUAGAUCUGGGGACAGAGGUACAGCUCAGGGGGCACAGGGGCUUGAAUGGCUCUAGUGAGCUCAUGUGGCCGGCCAGCCCUGAACGAAUUCCUGCUGUGUAUCAGGCCUGGGGACACAGUGAUGACCAAGACAGGCCCUGCCCCCACCGCCACUGAGGCCAGUGGGAGCUGGAGAGACAGCCAACAAGUACAUCUUUUAAUAUAAAAGAUGCACCCUGUCACAAAGCCAGGACACGAAAGUCGUUUUGUUCAGUGCUGUAGCCCAGCUUACAGAAUAAUGGUCGCCACACAGUAAGCACUCAACAAAUAGUUAAAACUAGGCUGGGAGCAGUGGUUCACGCCUAUAAUCCCAGUGCUUUGGGAGGCUGAGGCAGGCAAAUCACUUGAGGUCACAAGUUGGAGACCAGCCUGGCCAACAUGGAGAAACCCCCUUCUCUACUAAAAAUACAAAAAUUAGCCAGGUGUGGUGGUGCGUGUCUGUACUCCCAUCUACUAUGGAGGCUGAGGCAGGAGGAUCUUGAACCUGGGCAGUUGAUGCUGCAGUGGGCCAUGAUUAUGCCACUGCAGUCCAGCCUGGGCAACAGAGCAAGAUCGUGUCUCAAAAAAAAGGGAAAAAAAAAAAA